rnacentral:miRNA from 1 species
UUGAGGUGUUUCUACAGGCUA